UUGCCAUACCAGAUCAGACCAAUGAUCCAGCGAAGCUAAUAUCCCUCCUCCCUGCCACACUGGGCAAACCAAUGGCCUACCUAAUUUAGCAUCCCUCUAGGUCAGAACGCUGCCUCAUCUAGAUCAGUAUCCUGGCUCCAGCAGCGACCUGUAGCAGUGGAUGUAGAGGAAAGGGGAUGGCAAAUCCAUUCAAUGAGAAGGCAGAGAGAAGGCUAUGAAGCAGGCCUGAUUCUUUCACCUCUCGUCAGGUACCAUAUUCCAGAAGCAGUAUCGACAAAACCACCUGAGUAACAAUUCUUAAAGAACCACUCACAUGAGGGACAGAACCAAGCCCCUCGAUGGAUCGUGCUUGACUUGUACCAGACAGAGCCUGCAGAGAUUGUUCUGCAAUACAUAUCUAUUUCUAAAGGCAUGGGGGAGGAGUUAAAGGGAUGAAAACCUCCACUGCUGAAGAAACAGACGAGAUGUCAGAGCACUCACCGUUCGUGGAGGACGUUACGCAAUGAAAGGCACUCGAGACCUCUGGAGUGCUGCAGUUCUGCCAAAGGUCUGCCGUACGCCCGUUAAUGAUGAGCCAUUGCUGAAAGAGAUCCACAAAUCUGUGAGAGGUGGCAGCA